GUGCCAGCCGCCGCGGUAAAACGUAGGAGGCUAGCGUUAUCCGGAUUCACUGGGCGUAAAGCGCGUGUAGGCGGUCCGGUAAGUCGGGCGUGAAAUCUCCUGGCUCAACUGGGAGAGGCCGUCCGAAACUACCGGACUCGAGGGCAGUAGAGGGAGGUGGAAUUCCGGGUGUAGCGGUGAAAUGCGUAGAUAUCCGGAGGAACACCUGUGGCGAAAGCGGCCUCCUGGACUGUCCCUGACGCUCAGACGCGAAAGCUAGGGGAGCGAACGGGAUUAGAUACCCCAGUAGUCC
rnacentral:rRNA from 1 species